CCCACCCAGGGAGACGACCGCAGCUCGAUCCGCAAACCCUAGGAUCCGGAGCCCGAACAGCUCGCGCUCCGCCACCGCCCCCAAACCCUGGCCUCCCUCCGGCGAGGGGAGGGGACGGGACGGGACGGGACGGCUCCGGGCAGCUCCGAUCCGGAGCCGCGCGAGCCCCCCUAGCUCUCGGAAUCGAGCAGCCGAGCAGCGCCCGAGAUGAGAUUCGAGCGAAGAAUCGGAAGCGAGCGAGCGAGCGAGCGAAAUUGGGGGAGGAUUCGAUUCGAUUCGAUUUU
rnacentral:lncRNA from 1 species